UACGGAGGGUGCAAGCGUUAUCCGGAUUCACUGGGUUUAAAGGGUGCGUAGGUGGGUUGGUAAGUCAGUGGUGAAAUCUCCGGGCUUAACUCGGAAACUGCCGUUGAUACUAUCAAUCUUGAAUAUCGCGUAGGUAAGCGGAAUAUGUCAUGUAGCGGUGAAAUGCUUAGAUAUGACAUAGAACACCAAUUGCGAAGGCAGCUUACUUCACGAUCAUUGACACUGAGGCACGAAAGCGUGGGGAGCAAGACGG
rnacentral:rRNA from 1 species